rnacentral:rRNA from 1 species
UACAGAGGGUGCGAGCGUUAAUCGGAAUUACUGGGCGUAAAGCGUGCGUAGACGGUUUCGUAAGUCGGGGGUGAAAUCCCCGGGCUCAACCUGGGAAUUGCAUUCGAAACUGCGAGGCUAGGGUACGGAAGAGGGAAGCGGAAUUUCUGGUGUAGCGGUGAAAUGCGUAGAUAUCAGAAGGAACAUCAGUGGCGAAAGCGGCUUCCUGGUCCAGUACCGACGUUCAGGCACGAAAGCGUGGGGAGCAA